rnacentral:rRNA from 1 species
CAMGGCGAGUGAAGUGGGAAAAGCUCAACUUUAAAAUCUGGCAGCUUCGCUGUCCGAGUUGUAGUCUCGAGAAGUGUUUUCCGCGCUGGAUCGUGUAUGAGUCUGUUGGAAUACAGCGUCAUAGAGGGUGAGAACCCCGUUCAUGACACGACUACCAGUGCUUUGUGAUACACUUUCGAUGAGUCGAGUUGUUUGGGAAUGCAGCUCAAAAUGGGUGGUAAAUUCCAUCUAAAGCUAAAUAUUGGCGAGAGACCGAUAGCAAACAAGUACCGUGAGGGAAAGAUGAAAAGCACUUUGGAAAGAGAGUUAACAGUACGUGAAAUUGUCGAAAGGGAAACGCUUGAAGUCAGACGUGCGCGGUGCGAUUCAGCCUUGGUUCGCCAGGGUGUACUUCGUACCAUUGCAGGCCAGCAUCGGUUUUGUGAGCCGGAUAAAGGUUAGAGGAAGGUAGCGGUCCAGGCCGUGUUAUAGCCUCUAACUGAAUACGGAUUGUGAGACCGAGGGACGCAGCGCGCCGCAAGGCAAAGGGUCCGCCCUUUU